AGCCCAGAGCCUGAAUCAGUGUGUGUGUUAGUGGAAGCGUCUGGAAAGGCGCGCGAUACAGGGUGACAGCCCCGUACACAAAAAUGCACAUGCUGUGAGCUCGAUGAGUAGGGCGGGACACGUGGUAUCCUGUCUGAAUAUGGGGGGACCAUCCUCCAAGGCUAAAUACUCCUGACUGACCGAUAGUGAACCAGUACCGUGAGGGAAAGGCGAAAAGAACCCCGGCGAGGGGAGUGAAAAAGAACCUGAAACCGUGUACGUACAAGCAGUGGGAGCACGCUUAGGCGUGUGACUGCGUACCUUUUGUAUAAUGGGUCAGCGACUUAUAUUCUGUAGCAAGGUUAACCGAAUAGGGGAGCCGAAGGGAAACCGAGUCUUAACUGGGCGUUAAGUUGCAGGGUAUAGACCCGAAACCCGGUGAUCUAGCCAUGGGCAGGUUGAAGGUUGGGUAACACUAACUGGAGGACCGAACCGACUAAUGUUGAAAAAUUAGCGGAUGACUUGUGGCUGGGGGUGAAAGGCCAAUCAAACCGGGAGAUAGCUGGUUCUCCCCGAAAGCUAUUUAGGUAGCGCCUCGUGAAUUCAUCUCCGGGGGUAGAGCACUGUUUCGGCAAGGGGGUCAUCCCGACUUACCAACCCGAUGCAAACUGCGAAUACCGGAGAAUGUUAUCACGGGAGACACACGGCGGGUGCUAACGUCCGUCGUGAAGAGGGAAACAACCCAGACCGCCAGCUAAGGUCCCAAAGUCAUGGUUAAGUGGGAAACGAUGUGGGAAGGCCCAGACAGCCAGGAUGUUGGCUUAGAAGCAGCCAUCAUUUAAAGAAAGCGUAAUAGCUCACUGGUCGAGUCGGCCUGCGCGGAAGAUGUAACGGGGCUAAACCAUGCACCGAAGCUGCGGCAGCGACGCUUAUGCGUUGUUGGGUAGGGGAGCGUUCUGUAAGCCUGUGAAGGUGUGCUGUGAGGCAUGCUGGAGGUAUCAGAAGUGCGAAUGCUGACAUAAGUAACGAUAAAGCGGGUGAAAAGCCCGCUCGCCGGAAGACCAAGGGUUCCUGUCCAACGUUAAUCGGGGCAGGGUGAGUCGACCCCUAAGGCGAGGCCGAAAGGCGUAGUCGAUGGGAAACAGGUUAAUAUUCCUGUACUUGGUGUUACUGCGAAGGGGGGACGGAGAAGGCUAUGUUGGCCGGGCGACGGUUGUCCCGGUUUAAGCGUGUAGGCUGGUUUUCCAGGCAAAUCCGGAAAAUCAAGGCUGAGGCGUGAUGACGAGGCACUACGGUGCUGAAGCAACAAAUGCCCUGCUUCCAGGAAAAGCCUCUAAGCAUCAGGUAA
rnacentral:rRNA from 1 species